GGAGGAGUAGGGUGAGCAGGACGAGCCCGGCCGAGGACAGGUAGGUGCCGCAGGAGCGCCAGGGGAUGGUGGCUCGCUGACGCAUCACCUGUGACAGGUUGUCGUCAUCAUCGCUCUCCAGGGAUUCCUCUGAGACAGAGAACAACUCAGAAACACAGGACAGGAGAAAAGAGAAAGAAAAAAAAAGAGAGGGUCAGAGGAGAGGAGAACCCACAGGCUACAGGCUACUGUAUCUACUGUCUACUCUACAUCACCAAGCAGAUGCUCAUUCCCAUGAAUGGCGUGUUUUUCAGGGGCAACGGAGCAGCCAAGACACACUGACUGUUGAUGAGGAGCUAAUGUUAACGACCUCCUGCCCCCACCCCCACCCCUGAUGUAAA